rnacentral:misc_RNA from 1 species
AGCAGCCGCGGUAAUUCCAGCUCCAAUAGCGUAUAUUAAAGUUGUUGCAGUUAAAAGCUCGUAGUUGAAUUUCGGGGUCAGCAGGUUGGUCGUGCCAAUGGUAUGCACUGGCCUUGGUGAUUCCUCCCUCUUGUAGAACCGUAAUGCCAUUAAGUUGGUGUUGCGGGGAAACAGGACUGUUACUUUGAAAAAUUAGAGUGUUUAAAGCAGGCUAACGCCUGAAUACAUUAGCAUGGAAUAAUGAAAUAGGACGAUCGAUCCUAUUUUGUUGGUUUCUAGGAUUGACGUAAUGAUUAAUAGGGAUAGUUGGGGGCAUUAGUAUUCAAUUGUCAGAGGUGAAAUUCUUGGAUUUAUUGAAGACUAACUACUGCGAAAGCAUUUGCCAAGGAUGUUUUCAUUAAUC